AAAAGUGACAGGGUGAACGCCCGUAUUUUGCUACUAGGAAAGUAGUCGAUGAUUGGCUCCGCAGGUAGAAAGCUUGUCGUUCACAAUUAAGUAAGAGUUAAAAGACACUGCAAUAAUGGGUAACAAUUUGUACUAAAGUGACAGGGGAACACCUGUGCAACAUGUGCAAUUUGAAUCCUAAAAGUAACAAAGACUAUAGAAUAUUAACUUUUGUUUAUUUUAUUAUAA